rnacentral:sRNA from 1 species
CCAACGGCCCUCUUUAGGGCCACAAUUUAAUGAGUCGUGCUAA